GCCAGACUCCUACGGGAGGCAGCAGUGGGGGAUAUUGCACAAUGGGGGGAACCCUGAUGCAGCGACGCCGCGUGGGUGAAGGAGCGUUUCGGCGCGUAAAGCCCUCUCGGCAGGGAAGAAGGAGGACGGUACCUGACUAAGAAGCCCCGGCUAACUACGUGCCAGCAGCCGCGGUAAUACGUAGGGGGCAAGCGUUAUCCGGAUUUACUGGGUGUAAAGGGGGCGCAGACGGCAGCGCAAGCCAGGAGUGAAAGCCCGGGGCCCAACCCCGGGACUGCUCUUGGAACUGCGCGGCUGGAGUGCAGGAGGGGCGGGCGGAAUUCCUGGUGUAGCGGUGAAAUGCGUAGAUAUCAGGAGGAACACCGGUGGCGAAGGCGGCCUGCUGGACUGCGACUGACGUUGAGGCCCGAAAGCGUGGGGAGCAAACAGGAUUAGAUACCCCAGUA
rnacentral:rRNA from 1 species